GAGUUCCCCUUUGAGACUCUUGAGGGCUUGGGGAGAAACGAAUUGAGAACGCCUGUGCAAGAAACAAUUGCUUGUGUUUGGUUUCCGAUAAAUAGCAGAGGAGUAGAGAGGCACCGAGACCUGGUGGAUGCAUAAGGCACUCAAGCUUUUGGGUCUUGAGCCUUCAGCUCAGUACCUCACUAGGAUCAUCCAUGGCGGCAUCUCGCCCGAUCUUCCGUUCUGCUUCAACCUCUCCAAGCGUGAAAUUUCUCCUCCGCUUCAAUAGAACAUCAACCACGCUCUCUCACCAUAAUCAAUACCAGCUUCAGCACGAGUUCUCGAAACCCAAUGAGUUUCCUAGGAGCUGGAAAUCCUUUAAGGAUCCGAAGGUAGCUGGGGCGAGAGUAUGCGAAGCGGGUGAAAUAGCUGCGCAAAAAGUUAUAUCAAUGAGAUGGAGUUGCACAGGCAGGAGAAGCAAUUGAAGGUCGAGGCCAAGCAUGAGGCUAUUCGUCUCGCCAGGGAGGAGUGAAAGCCGCCAAGGCUGCCAUGGCUCAGGCACGUCCGUCGAACCUUCCUGAAAGAACAGAGAAGCUCGAAUAUAGGAGAUCAAGAGGAAAAGGAGUGAAGGAUAAAAGGAACGAAAAGAAAGAGCUUUUGCGUCGGCAGAGUUCCAUGUGUGUAGAUGAACAAGAGCUGGAGAAGAAAAUAUUGGAGGCCAUUGUUGAUACCACUCCUCUCUAAGUCCAAGCUUCUCUAUACUUGCUCCCAUCAGUAUCUGGAUAUUUUAUUCUUUUCAUGUGAUGUGGACUGAUCAAUUUAUCGGCCUUUCUUGGAUUGACAUUCAGGUAAAGUGUUGCACCUGCAGCCAUUUGUGAAGUGGAUGAAUUACAAAUUGCCUGGCCCUUCUCUACUCAGAAUAUUUGAAUUCGGUUUUCGGACAGCUUAUACUUUAGGUAAGAUUACAAUUUGAAAGAGGGUUCUUUGAACAAGCGGCAUAGAGGAGCACACCAAUGAGAUGCAGCAAAGCAGUAUCAUAUAUUGGAGGGCAGCGAGGUCGUUUCAUGUGAGGAGAGAGAUAGACACAGAGGUGCUAAUGUACCCUGCCUCAACGACUCAAUGUGUUGGGGCCUUCUCUAUGGUUUAAAGCAAGUGAAAGAUGGAGGAUGGAGCAUAGGGGAAAUAUGGAAUGAUUCAAGGAAUUAGAACUUUUAACUUGUGAAAGUAGUAGCACCCUAUCGUGACCUCGGAGCCCAGUCCCUUUUUUUUUGGGAUAUUUAUAGUCUUUUGUUUAUACCAUAUUUUUGGCUCAGGCGUAGAAAAGAAGUGGUCCUACUUAUGUGUAAUAUAUUAUAGCCUGUAUGGCUGUGAAUAAACAAUCUCAUCUCAA